UCAAAAUACCUUACCAUAGCAAAUGCCUCUCUAGUGUAAACUAAAAAGAUGAAUAAUGGUCUGCAGUAAAUAUAUCCCCUUACAACCUUUUCUUUCAUGUUAAUUUUAAUAUCUUUAAGAUAUGUGACAAGGGUGCUCUAAUGCAGAGGAAUUUACGAAGUUAAGAAGUUAGAAAUAUAUUUUUGCACUUUUUUUGUCAUUUUUAGCUGAUUUUGGUUUGUAACUAAGGUGAUAUUUUUUAAAGAAUAAUUUUACAAAAGGCAUAGUUGAAGAACAUCUUGUUGAAAUUGGAUUGGUUGAUUUUUGGUGUUAAACACCACUUUAACAUGAUUUACUAUAAUUUUGGCUGUAAAUUUUUAUUUGUGGAGACAGCCAGAGUGCCUGGUGAAAACAUCACCUUCAUCAGGGAAAGGGCAAACCCUAGUCAAAUUAAGAAUGAAGUUACACAUUUCAUGUGAGGGUUCUCAGUGUUGACAGGCUAGUGAUACAGUAGUUGAACUACUUAUAGGACCACUCUGCCACCAUAAGUCGAUCAGUACGAAAUAUUUUAUUGAAAUGUGUUAGAUUUUUGUUAUCAAUCUAUUUUUUAAUUUUAAUUGUACUAUUUUAUUUAUUUUGUUUAAUAUAACAAGGAUGUGGAGUCCGAACAGGGUGAAAUUUGGGUCAAAGGGAGGCAAUUUAUUAUACCCCUGUUUAACUCCACAUACUUGAAUUUCCCUCAAUGUUAGGAUUUUCAUCUACUUGGAUAUUCAUGUUUGUACAUUUUUUUUUAAUAUCAGAUGUAUACUAGCUAAUAUUGACUAUUAUUUAGAGCUCUGUAAUAAAAAAAAAAUGUAAGCAGAGCUCUAGAUAAUAAGUAUGCAGGGUGGGAGAAAUCUUGGGUCAUUAACAAUUGAUUUGCUGGAAUUUUCAAGAAAGGGGAUUUAUUGGAAAUGCAUCUGAUAUAUUUAAUGUAUAAAACUAUAUUUAAAAAUAAAAGAUGUUAAGAUGAUGAGGAGAGCCACCUUGUCAGCCGGGAGAGCAGCUCUAAGGGAGAUGGUCAAUUUAAUCUUCACCAAGUCUGAGGCUUUACCAUGAAAAAUAUGUGGUUGUUAUAAUGAUGAUGUUUUCAUGGUGUUGGGAGUAAGACUUGGAUGUCUGAUAUUGUUAACAUGUUGGUUAGCAUCAGGUUUCAAUUGGGUUACUUGCUGGGAUAAAGCUGUUAUAAGUCGAAAGAGUUGCUGUUGCUGCCUUCCUUGUAUGGUAAAAUCCUCAGACUACAAUCCUGCAAACCAUUGGAUGAACUGUUGCUAUCUUUUGUAAAAAAAAUCAGUAGAUAUUUGUCUUAUAAGCAGAAUGAAUUAUAAAUGCAUUUAAUUUUUAAUGCUUUAUUAUUCAAAUUAUAAAUAUUUAUUUCAUUA